rnacentral:rRNA from 1 species
GUGGGGAAUAUUGGACAAUGGGCGAAAGCCUGAUCCAGCCAUGCCGCGUGUGUGAAGAAGGUCUUCGGAUUGUAAAGCACUUUAAGUUGGGAGGAAGGGCAGUAAGUUAAUACCUUGCUGUUUUGACGUUACCAACAGAAUAAGCACCGGCUAACUUCGUGCCAGCAGCCGCGGUAAUACGAAGGGUGCAAGCGUUAAUCGGAAUUACUGGGCGUAAAGCGCGCGUAGGUGGUUCAGCAAGUUGGAGGUGAAAUCCCCGGGCUCAACCUGGGAACUGCCUCCAAAACUGCAUGACUAGAGUACGGUAGAGGGUAGUGGAAUUUCCUGUGUAGCGGUGAAAUGCGUAGAUAUAGGAAGGAACACCAGUGGCGAAGGCGACUACCUGGACUGAUACUGACACUGAGGUGCGAAAGCGUGGGGAGCAAACAGGAUUAGAUACCCUAGUAGUCC